rnacentral:rRNA from 1 species
UCAUGGCUCAGGAUGAACGCUGGCGGCGUGCUUAAUACAUGCAAGUCGAACGAAGAUAUUUCGCUGAGGCGAGCUUGCUCAAUUCUUGAAAUAUCUUAGUGGCGGACGGGUGAGUAACGCGUGGGUAACCUGCCUUACACAGGGGGAUAACAGUUAGAAAUGACUGCUAAUACCGCAUAAGCGCACGGUAUCGCAUGAUACAGUGUGAAAAGAUUUAUCGGUGUAAGAUGGACCCGCGUCUGAUUAGCUAGUUGGUGAGGUAACGGCCCACCAAGGCGACGAUCAGUAGCCGGCCUGAGAGGGUGAACGGCCACAUUGGGACUGAGACACGGCCCAAACUCCUACGGGAGGCAGCAGUAGGGAAUAUUGGACAAUGGGGGCAACCCUGAUCCAGCGACGCCGCGUGAGUGAAGAAGUAUUUCGGUACGUAAAGCUCUAUCAGCAGGGAAGAAAAUGACGGUACCUGACUAAGAAGCACCGGCUAAAUACGUGCCAGCAGCCGCGGUAAUACGUAUGGUGCAAGCGUUAUUCGGAUUUACUGGGUGUAAAGGGAGCGUAGACGGCAUAGCAAGUCUGAAGUGAAAUGCGGGGGCUCAACCCCUGAACUGCUUUGGAAACUGUUAAGCUAGAGUGUCGGAGAGGUUAGUGGAAUUCCUAGUGUAGCGGUGAAAUGCGUAGAUAUUAGGAGGAACACCGGUGGCGAAGGCGGCUAA